rnacentral:rRNA from 1 species
UUACGUGGGACGUAAAGCGCAUGCAGGCGGCCUAGUUAAGUCAGAUGUAGAAACGGCCCGGGGUACUUAACCGUACGGUAAUUGCUAUUUAGAAACGUGGCGAGGCUAGAGUCUUGUAGAGGGGGUAGAAUUUCAGGUGUAGCGGUGAAAUGCGUAGAGAUCUGAAGGAAUACCAGUGGCGAAGGCGGCCCCCUGGACAAAGACUGACGCUCAGAUGCGAAAGCGUGGGGAGCAAACAGGAUUAGAUACCCUGGUAG